GCGGCGUGCUUACACAUGCAAGUCGAACGUGAAGCCCGGUACCUAGUAUUGGGUGGAAAGUGGCGAACGGGUGAGUAACACGUUGGUGACCUGCCCUGAGGAGGGGAAUAACCGUGGGAAACCACGGCUAAUACCCCGGAUGUCUAAGCUGUUAGAGGGCUCAGACUAAAGCCCCUGCAAUGGGUGCGCCUCGGGAGGGGCCUGCGGGCUAUCAGCUUGUUGGUGAGGUAAUGGCUUACCAAGGCGAAGACGGCUAGGGGGCGUGAGAGCGCGACCCCCCACAAUGGAACUGAGACACGGUCCAUACUCCUACGGGAGGCAGCAGUGAGGAAUAUUGCGCAAUGGGGGCAACCCUGACGCAGCAACGCCGCGUGGACGAUGAAGGCCUUCGGGUUGUAAAGUCCUUUUCUGAAGGAAGAUAGUGACGGUACUUCAGGAAUAAGUCCCGGCUAACUACGUGCCAGCAGCCGCGGUAAAACGUAGGGGGCGAGCGUUAUCCGGAUUUACUGGGCGUAAAGCGCACGUAGGCGGCAUCGUAAGUUGGACGUGAAAGCUCCCGGCUCAACUGGGAGAGGUCGUUCAAAACUGUGGUGCUUGAGGUUGAUAGAGGAGAGUGGAAUUCCCGGUGUAGUGGUGGAAUGCGUAGAUAUCGGGAGGAACACCAGUGGCGAAGGCGGCUCUCUAGGUCACACCUGACGCUGAGGUGCGAAAAGCGUGGGGAGCGAACGGGAUUAGAUACCCCGGUAGUCCACGCU
rnacentral:rRNA from 1 species